rnacentral:rRNA from 2 species
UACGGAGGGUGCAAGCGUUAUCCGGAUUCACUGGGUUUAAAGGGUGCGUAGGUGGAUUGGUAAGUCAGUGGUGAAAUCUCUGGGCUUAACUCAGAAACUGCCAUUGAUACUAUCAGUCUUGAAUACCGUGGAGGUCAGCGGAAUAUGUCAUGUAGCGGUGAAAUGCUUAGAUAUGACAUAGAACACCAAUUGCGAAGGCAGCUGGCUACACGAAUAUUGACACUGAGGCACGAAAGCGUGGGGAUCAAACAGG